UUUUGACUCGAGUCAAAGAAAUUGGCGGAAAGUUUGAGUUUGUAAACAAAAUAAAUUAUUUACCAGGGACAAAUACCAUUUUGCCGCUGUUUGAAAGUGAUGUGAAACCACACAAUGGAUGCCAAGAUUACAGAAAAACUUGAAAAGAUGGAACAACUGAAAGCAAAUAUUGCCAAACUUAUGACAGAAGAAACAAAAAUGACUUAUGAUGUUAAAAAAUUGUUUGAAGAGAAUAUAAUUCGUCAUGAAGAUAAAUUACUCCAAGCUUCUGGGGAACGAAAGAGAUUGGAGCAGUUUACAGAAGAGGAAAAAGUAAAUCAACAAGACAAAAGACUCCAGCUGGAGGAAUUAGAAAAAGAGUUAAAUCAACUUUUACAAGAAAUGGAAUCAAAAGAGGAAGAAAAUAAACUAGCCUUGGAAUCACUUAAUAAUAUUGUUUCAGAUAAAGAGGCAAUGAAAGAAAAAAUAGAAACUUCAGAAAAGCAAGCAAAUGUUUGCCUGAAGGAUUUACAGAAUAUGGAAGAAAUAUUCCAAGAAAGACUUGGAUUAAAGUUUGUGAAAACUGCAGACCAACGUUUACAAGUUAUUUUCACUAAUAUUGAUCCUAAAGAUCCAAGUGCUGCAUUCAGUUUUGACGUUAAAGUUCUUAAUGGAAAAUAUGAAGUGUCCAAUGCCCAACCUGAAAUUGAAAGUUUGGAGUUACUGACAGAAAAAUUAAACAAAACAAACAGUUUUCGAUCUUUUAUUAUCACUGUUCGUAAAUAUUACUGCAGUACUGUAUCUUAAGUUGGGAUACAAGAACAAGCAUCUUCUUUCCCAUGUGUAUUUAUGAUAUUUAGCAUUUAUUUCAUAACAGAAAUUAUAUAAUAAACUGUUGUUAUUUGUAUAAUUAUGUUUUCAUAUUUUUUUUUAUUUUAAAUGCUAGUUAUCUAUAGUAAUUUACAUUAAGCUCUAUUUAAGUGGGCCUAGGCCAAACCUUUUGAAUGAGGGGAAUGGGGAGGUUUGGACCAUGGACAUUUGCUUGUGAUGAUCUACAGGCUCAAGUUAAUAUCCGAUUGACUUUAAAUUAUGGCCCUUGAUCACUUUGAAAAAUCUUGUGGCCACUCUAGAGGUUAAAGUUAAGUUCUGAUUGACUUUAAAUUUAUACUCAGUGUUUAAGGUUAUGAGACGCUGAGGCCUAUGGACUUUCAACAAUUUCUGAUAAUAACUGAUCUCUUUCAAAAAUCUUGUGGACGUUCUCAGGACCAAUAUUGUAAUGUUCAAAAUCUAUAUAUGGCAAUAUAAUGUGUCAGUGCAUACAUGCAGAAUAUUAGGUUAAAUGAGCGUUUAAUCGAGUCUAAUUAGCAUCAUGUAGAAUAGUAUAUAGUGUCUAGUAAAUCGAGUCAAUUGCUUAGUAAGGUAGCAGAUGUUGAGUGAUGUGAGUUGGUGACAGCGUACUGUUUUCUACCGCAGAUGCAGAUGCAGACGCAGUCAAUUUCGCUAUGUUGGACAUUUGAUAAUCUAUGCAUGUAUCUAAGAUUGUGAUUUGCAACCUGUGAACCUUUUGUGUAAUAUGUGACGGUGAAUAAAUAGUUGUUAUUGUUGCA